GCCUUUGUAAUGUAGUGGUCAGCAUGCUGAGCUCGUAUUUCAGAGGUUCGAGUCCCGGCGGAGGUA
rnacentral:tRNA from 1 species